UACGGAGGUGGCAAGCGUUGUUCGGAAUUACUGGGCGCAAAGGGCUCGUAGGUGGCCAAUUAAGUCAGUCGUGAAAUCCCUCGGCUUAACCGGGGAACUGCGUCUGAUACUGGAUGGCUUGAAUCCGGGAGAGGGAUGUGGAAUUCCAGGUGUAGCGGUGAAAUGCGUAGAUAUCUGGAGGAACACCGGUGGCGAAGGCGGCAUCCUGGACCGGCAUUGACGCUGAGGAGCGAAAGCCAGGGGAGCAAACG
rnacentral:rRNA from 1 species